UUCGCAAAGUUGCUGUCCAAACGAGACAUGGCACAUUUUAUGAACUUAAUAUCGGCACAAUCUGGUUAGACUAUUUGGAUCAUCUAUAUUUCUACUCACUUAGUGAUGUAUUAAUGUACACUCAGAGCAAGCAAUGCUGACUGACAUUCCGGCGAACCCCCUGAAUCCCACCUUGCACUGGCCCAGGGCACCCAACUAUGGAAAGCGAAACAAGCAGCAGGCCUCUGCCCCACCCCAUCCCCCCUCGGAGCCCCAACAGCGCAGCUCGUCCCAGCGCAGCUGCUUCCUGGGCGUGGAGACGUGGGCGGAGCUUGUGUGGGAGCGCUGGGAGCCGGGCGCC